CUGCACAGCAGGAGAUGAACAGCAGGAGAGAGUGAAGGUUCAUCUGUAUUUACAGCGGCACUCCAUCACUCACAUUACUGCCUGAGCUCCACCUCCUGUCAGAUCAGUGGCCGCAUUAGAUUCUCUUAGAACCAUGAACCCUAUUGUGAACUGUGCAUAUGAGGGAUCUAGGUUGCACACUCCUUAUGAGAAUCUAAUGCCUGAUGAUAUGUCACUGUCUCCCAUCACCCCCAGAUGGGACGGUCCAUUUGCAGGAAAACAAGCUCUGGGGUCCCACUAAUUCUACAUGACGGCUAUACAAGAAGCAUGGCGCCAGCAUGUGCUUGUGGUGAGGACUCCAGGAAGAAUCCAAUCAAGGCAGGAGACAGAGGGGAGCUGACAUCACAUGGUGAGAGGAAGGAAGCAAGAGAGAGAGUGGAAGAGGUGCCAGGCUCUUUUCAACAAUCAGCUCUUGAGGGAGCUAAUAGAGUGAGAACUCACUCAUUACCUUGAGGAUGGCACCGACUCAUUCAUGAGAGAUCUACCCCCAGGACCAAAACACCAUCCUUCAGGCACCACCUUCAACAUUGGCGAUCAACUUUCAAUAUGAGACUUGAAGGCAACAAAUAUCCAAACUAUAUCAUUUGUAAUAUUGUUACUCUUUUUUAAUGCUCUGUAUUUUUAUGGACACAGAAAAUAAGAGAAGCCUUCUCCCUUUCUUCUUCUCUAACCCUCAACUUAGUAGCUUCUACUUUUAAACUGUAGUGAGGCCAGGCACGGUGGCUCAUGCCUGUAAUCCCAGCACUUUGGGAGGCCGAGGAAGGUGAAUCAUGAGGUCAGGAGUUUGAGACCAGUCUGGCUAAGAUGGUGAAACCACAUCUCUACUAAAAAUACAAAAAUUAGCCAAGCACAGUGACGGGCACCUGUAAUCCCAGCUACUCAGGAGGCUGAGGCAUGAGAAUCUCUUGAAUCUAGGAGGCGGAGGUUGCAGUGAGCUGAGAUUGUGCCACUGCACCGUAGCCUAGGUGACAGAGCAAGACUCCAUCUCAAAAAAAAAAAAAAAACAAAACCAAAAAACUGUAGUGCAACUUUUAAUGGUACCUGAUUCUCAUCGGUUCCUCCAGAAUUCAAAGAUAUUUUGACUGCCUCCUUAUUUUUUUAUGGCAAUAUAGUUUUCAUGGGUUCAUAAGAAUCUGCUCUCUUUUUUUUAACCAAAAUAUAAUUGGACAAGUACAUUGUGCAAUUAAGGCCAUACCUGAAGUAUUAUACUAGAGAAGAUUUCUCAUUUAAUACCUAAGUAUGAUCAACCCACUAUUAAGGAAAAUUACUGUACAGGUUAAUUUUUUGUGUCAACGCGACUGUCCCAGGCAGUGCCCAGAUUAAACAUUAUUUCUAGAUGUGUCUGGAAAGGUAUUUCCAGAAGAGAUUAACAUUUGGGUCUGUGGAUGCAUUAAACUAAUGUCCCUCCCCAGUGUGGGUAGACAUCAUGCCAUUCUUUGAGGGCCUAAAUAGAAUAAAAUGUGGAGAAAGGAAUUUGCCCCUUAUGCUCCUGCCUGCCUGCUUGAACUUGGACAUUGGUAUUCUUCUGCCUGCUGGGAUUUACACCAUCAGCUCCCCUAGUUCUCAGGGCUUUGAGCUCAGCUUGAAUUAGACCACUAUGUUUUCCCUGGUCUCCGGUUUGCAGAUGGCAAAUGGUGGGCUUUCUCAGCCUCCUUAAUCAUGUGAGCCGAUUCCUCAUAAUAUAUCCUAUUGGUUCUGUUUUUCUGGAGAAUCCUGACUAAUAAAAUUCUGACCAUUUAUGUGAAGCUAAUGCCUACAAAUUCCUCCUAAGGAAACUAGCUUGGUAUCUGGCUUGCAGUAUUCCAGUGUCAGAGUUGGUAGAGAAGCCCACCUACUUCUAGGCCAGAGACCUUUGUAAAUUGGGGGGACCUCAAGAAAAGGAGAAUUCAUUCCUAUAUAUAGGUACAUACACCACCAAGUAAAAUCUAGAGGAGAGUGUUUUGUGCUUGGUUUCCUAGCCUUAGGAUGGAAGAGCAAAUGACACAGGCUUUCAAAAGUCCAAUCCAAGAUUCUUUAUGAAAAUGUCCACACAGAACUUGCUCAAUAUUGUAGGACUGUCAAUUUUCAGAGCAAAAUUAAUGAGGCAAGCAUAGUUAAUAAACACUUUUUUACACAUAUCUACAUAAUCAGGACAAACACACUGAUACCAGACUUUAUGGUAGAUUAAUUAUGAUUCCAGAAGUGUGGUAAAGAAACUGGUGAAUUAUCCAAAAUUUUGAAAUAGGCAAAAGAGGGAUGACACGCUCUUUUACUGUCCUUCAGAAACACAGGCACAUUCAAGUUUAGAAGCCUUUAUCUUGUUAACUCACUGUUCAAAAUUGAUUAAAUUUCCCAGCUUUAGUGAAGUUAUAUAACUUUUAUAGAUUUUUAUCCAGUGGAGAUGUAAAUAAUUUCUGUCCAAUGGAAUAUGUAACUCUGAAGUUUACAGUUUAUUGCUCUACUGGACAUUAGAAGGUUUUGUAUCUAGUCCAGAAGUUUUUAUCCUAACAGUGCUUUAUUAAGUUACCUAUAAAUACUUGGUUCCAUAAAUGUUCUUUGAACCAGUUUUAACAUCUUACUGGUGCCCUCAACAAUUAGUGAAUAGAAAAAAAUUGUUGACAAGUGUUUACUUUUAUAUUUGCAUGAAUUGUGACUUAACAUUUUUGAAAAUUAUGCUGUAACAUACACAAAUAUUUGCCUUUUAUUUUUGUUAAUCUCAGAAAUAGAGUAAGGGAUCUCAAUGCGAUCAGUGAUAUAUAAGUGAAUUGAUGCAAUUGCAGACAAAAAUAAAGAAAUUUAAACCAGUUAGCUUUUGCAACAGUCAUUGCACGGGUUUGGCUACGUUUUUAUGAAAUGUAUUAAAAAAUAAUUGACAGAUCAACUGGAGAUCUGGGCCUCAAAAUGAGAUCUUUGAUGUGGUUUGACACUUAGUCUUCUUUCAGCCUGAUAUGGCUUGAUUCUGCAAUAUGCAUGCUCUUGUUUCAACUAGAGAUGAAAACGGUUUUUUGAAAGGAAAACAAAUCUCAGGACCCCUAAAUCACUAAGAUGAGGGAAAAGUCAAGGUGGGAACUACAUCAGGCAAACCUGACUCCCAUUUUAAUUCCUAAAUAAGAUAACUAAAAGGAUAGAAGAGCUACAUGCCUCCCUCAUAGUUUUCCCACAAGGAAAUUCCUUGGGACCCUCAAGAUCUUGACCCUAAAACAGUACUGUUGAAUUUCAUCCUGGCAAUGUAAACGAAUAGCUUAUCUUCACACGAGCAGAACAGAAAGUCAUCCCUCUGCUCACCUGAGACAAGCAAGUAUCUGAUUGCUUCCUCUGUCUUAUUGUUUAUGUAAAAAUGCAGAUUCACUGAGCCAGACUAAAUGGUGUGUAUUCAGUGAAAGGCUGAUCAAGGACUCAAAAGAAUGCAACUUUUUUUCUCUUAUCUACCUAUGACCUGGAAGCUCCCAAUUCAAGUUGUCUUGCUUUACCAUACUGAACAAAUAUACAUCUUACACAUAUUUAUUGAUGUCUCAUGUCUCCCUAAAAUGUAUACAAGCACAUUGUACCCCGACCACCUUGGGCACAUGUCACCAGGAGCUCCUGAGGCUCUGUCAUGGAUAUGUCCUUAACUUUGGCAAAAUGAACUUUUUAAAUUGGUUGAGACCUGUCUCAGAUAUUUUAAGUUCACAGUUUCAUUUCAAAAGAACCACAGUAAAUCCUAAACAUAUCUAUUGAAUGAGCAUCAACACAGAGAAUCACUACCUGCUGAAAGUCCAGAAUCGUGCUCCCAGUCUUUCUG
rnacentral:lncRNA from 10 species